UACGGAGGGUGCGAGCGUUGUCCGGAAUCACUGGGCGUAAAGGCGCGUAGGCGGCCUGAUAAGUAGGGGGUGAAAUCUUGCGGCUUAACCGCAAGGCUGCCUUCUAAACUGUCAGGCUAGAGCACAGUAGAGGCAGGUGGAAUUCCCGGUGUAGCGGUGGAAUGCGUAGAGAUCGGGAAGAACAUCAGUGGCGAAGGCGGCCUGCUGGGCCUGUUGCUGACGC
rnacentral:rRNA from 1 species